GAUGAACGCUGGCGGCGUGCCUAAUACAUGCAAGUCGAGCGAAUGGAUUAAGAGCUUGCUCUUAUGAAGUUAGCGGCGGACGGGUGAGUAACACGUGGGUAACCUGCCCAUAAGACUGGGAUAACUCCGGGAAACCGGGGCUAAUACCGGAUAACAUUUUGAACCGCAUGGUUCGAAAUUGAAAGGCGGCUUCGGCUGUCACUUAUGGAUGGACCCGCGUCGCAUUAGCUAGUUGGUGAGGUAACUGCUCACCAAGGCAACGAUGCGUAGCCGACCUUGGAGGGUGAUCGGCCACACUGGGACUGCGACACGGCCCAGACUCCUACGGGAGGCAGCAGUAGGGAAUCUUCCGCAAUGGACGAAAGUCUGACGGAGCAACGCCGCGUGAGUGAUGAAGGCUUUCGGGUCGUAAAACUCUGUUGUUAGGGAAGAACAAGUGCUAGUUGAAUAAGCUGGCACCUUGACGGUACCUAACCAGAAAGCCACGGCUAACUACGUGCCAGCCGCCGCGGUAA
rnacentral:rRNA from 1 species